rnacentral:rRNA from 1 species
UACGUAGGGUGCAAGCGUUAAUCGGAAUUACUGGGCGUAAAGCGUGCGCAGGCGGUUGUGCAAGACAGAUGUGAAAUCCCCGGGCUUAACCUGGGAAUUGCAUUUGUGACUGCACGGCUAGAGUGUGUCAGAGGGGGGUAGAAUUCCAACGGUGUAGCAGUGAAAUGCGUAGAUAUGUGGAGGAAUACCGAUGGCGAAGGCAGCCCCCUGGGAUAAC